UAAUUUGUUGUAGUAAUUUUAUGUUCACGGAAAUGGCGCUUAGUCCUCGUUCUCACCAUCGUGCCGGCGAGCAACUCUUUCUCUACCAGUCUCCGCUACGUUCUGUUCUCCGGUGCUUCUCGUCUCGUCGAAUCAAGAUCCAUGGCGAAGGCAUCGAUGAACAAAAGCGGGGAUGGGGUGAUAAAAAAAAGUCAUCCACCAAAACCAAGAGGGCAAAAUCUAUGGCUCGUGUCAUCAACUCCACCCUAUGGUCAAGUGAGCUUGAAUCCUCUAUUUCUUCUCUAUCUCCUUCUCUUUCUAAAACCACCGUUUUGCAAACACUUCGCCUUAUUAAAACUCCAUCUAAAGCUCUUCAAUUUUUCAACUGGGUUCAAAAAAUGGGCUUCCCUCACAAUACUCAAUCCUUUUUCUUAAUGCUUGAAAUAUUGGGUAAAGAAAGAAAUCUCAAUGCUGCUCGUAAUUUACUGCUUUCAAUUGAGAAAAGGUCUAAUGGGUCUGUUAAACUCGAGGACAAGUUCUUUAACAGCUUGAUUAGGAGCUAUGGUAAAGCUGGGUUAUUUCAAAAGUCUAUCAAGGUUUUUGAGACAAUGAAAAGCAUUGGCGUUUCUCCUUCAGUUGUUUCAUUCAAUAACCUUUUGUCAAUUUUGCUUGAAAGAGGACGCACUAAUAUGGCAAAGAGUGUGUUUGAUGAAAUGCUUAGCACGUAUGGGGUUAAUCCUGAUGUUUAUACUUUUAACAUUUUAAUUAGGGGUUUUUGCAUGAAUUCAAUGGUUGAUGAGGGGUUUGGGUUUUUCAAGGAAAUGGAGCGAUUUAAAUGUGACCCUGAUGUUGUUACUUAUAAUACAAUUGUUGAUGGAUUGUGUAGGGUGGGAAAGGUAGGAAUUGCCCACAAUGUGGUGAGAGGUAUGAGCCAGAAAAGUUUGGAUUUGAAUCCUAAUAUUGUUACUUAUACUACUUUGGUUAGAGGGUAUUGUAUGAAGCAAGAUAUUGAUGAGGCUUUGGUUGUUUUCCAAGAGAUGAUUAGUAGAGGUUUGAAGCCGAAUAGGAUUACUUACAAUACUUUAAUUAAGGGGCUCUCUGAGGUGCAUAAGUAUGAUAAGAUAAAAGAAAUUUUGGAGGGAAUGGGAGAAGAUGGAAGAUUUAUUCCAGAUACAUGCACUUUCAACACUAUAAUAAAUGCACACUGCAAUGCUGGAAACACGGAUGAAGCAUUGAAUGUGUUCAAAAGGAUGUCGGAAUUGGAGGUUCAAUCAGAUUCAGCUACUUAUAGUGUUAUAAUCAGGAGUUUGUGUCAAAUAGGGGAUUUUGAGAAGGCGGAGGAGUUCUUUGAUGAGCUAGCCAAAAAGAAGAUAUUAUUAAGUGAUGUAGGUUGUACGCCUCUUGUUGCAGCAUAUAAUCCCAUGUUUGAGUAUCUAUGUAGUAAUGGAAAAACUAAGAAAGCUGAGAGAGUAUUUAGACAGCUAAUGAAGAGGGGAAGACAAGACCCUCCUGCUUACAAGACUUUAAUCUUAGGUCAUUGCAAGGAAGGUACGUUUAAAGCGGGAUAUAAGCUCUCGGUCUUGAUGUUGAGAAGAGAUUUUGAACCUGGUUUUGAAAUCUUUGACUCACUUAUUAGUGGUCUCUUGCAGAAGGGUGAACCUCUUCUUGCUCUACUGACCCUAGAGAAGAUGCUGAUGAGUUCGCAUCUCCCUCGAACACCUUCUGUUCAUUCUAUACUUGCAGAGCUACUGAAAAAGUGUUGUGCCCAUGAAGCAGCCAGUUUGGUAACUCUAAUGCUGCACACAAGAAUUAGACUGAAUAUCAAUCUCUCAACACAGACUGCAAAGUUGCUGUUUGCAAGACAGUUGGAGGACAAAGCAUUUCAAAUUAUUGUUUUACUUUAUGAUAAUGGCUAUGUGGUUGAGAUGGAGGAAUUGGUUGGUUUCCUUUGCCAGAGUGGAAAGCUUUUGGAGGCAUGCAAGAUGAUGCAAUUUAGUUUGGAAAAGCACCAAACUGUUGAUAUUGAAAUGUGCAGCACAGUCAUAGAAGGUCUUUGUAACAGCAAGAGUCUUUCGGAAGCAUUUGGUUUGUACUAUGAACUGGUGGAGAGGGGAAAACAUCAACAGUUGAGAUGCCUUGACAAUUUGAGAAUGGCAUUGGAAGCCGGAGGAAGGUUAGAUGAAGCUGAGUUUGUAUUGAAGAGGAUUCCAAACCAGUGGCAGUGUAAUGAUGCUUCUACAAAACUCAAUGUCAGGACACAGAAAUUUCAGCAGCAAUAAUUCCUGUGAAAGUCUUUUUAUUUGAUUCACUUUCCAAAAGUGGCAAACAGGUUUAAUUCGGAAAUUUGAUUGAUAAAUAUUCCCAGUAUAUAGGUUCUUUUUUACAUUGUAGUUGAGCAUGUUAUAUUCAUUAUAAGUUUCAUCCAUAAUAGGUAAUCUAGGAGAAUCAGGUCGCAGGAAGUCAGGUAUAUGGUUGAAGCCAACGACGUAAUAAUGGUGAAUGGUUGAAGCCUUCUAUAACUCAACUGAUUAUGAGCGUGUGUUCUGCAACAUCCAGUCUCACUUAAAAGAUAGAUAGGAUUCUCCCAAGUUGCCAAGUCUCCUCAUUUUAAGGGUUAAUAAUCAUGACUAUUAUAAGGGUUCUUUUUUGUAUGUAAUUAUUCGCUGCCAAGAUACUUCAUUUGAGAAUACUUUGUUCUUUGGUUCAGAAAACAAAUUAACAUCAGCAGAGUUGGGAGUAUUAUUAUUAUUAAAGAAAAGAGAGAAAGAGUGAGAGAUUUGGGCUUAUAACUUGCAGGUCAUACUAAAGAAGGAAAAGACUGCUAUCCCCAUAGCCUUCACACUUCUAACAACCUUUACCAAACCCCAAUACAAGUAACCAAUUUCUCUUUUCAUAACAGGCUUUCUUGAAACCAAACUCUCUCCAAGAACAAGCUAACCUCUUCUUUAUAUUCUCUGCUAAUGGAAACACCGACAUUAACUUUUCCAUAAGCCUAACCGGAAUCUUCUUUCCAGGCUUCCUAAAGAUGUCAAAAACUGACAAUAAUGGUGCUCCUUGGCAGCAUCUUACGCAUGCUUCCAUACCAGGGAAGGCAACCGUGCUUGCCAUCGGCAAGGCAUUUCCAAGGUAACUCAUUGCUUAAGAAUGCUUGGUGGAGGGCUACAAUCACAAUACAAAAUGCGAAGAUGUCUCCAUUGAAGAGAAAUUGGAACUUUUAUAUGGGCCUCUAUCUCUAUUGAGGAUGCUUUUCUUGGCCGACUUACAUCGACAGCUGCAACUGAAAGUUCCUCCAAUAAUUUCCUAGAGCCGAUGAAGAUAGAGAACAGACUGCCUCUGAAAAGACUAGUAACAUUUUACACAAUAUAAUAGUUGCCAUUAAUAAGCUAUGGUGCCUGAAGUCGUGUUCUGUUAACUACCUCCGAGACUACCAUCCUUGGUUUUUGACCUCCAAACAAAGCAUUACCGUAUGACCUUGUUGGUGCAGCACUUUUUGUUAAUGGAGCAGUUGCAGUGAUAGUUGGAACCGAUCCAGUAAAGAGAAGAGAAUCUCCUUUCAUGGAACAAUUCCUGCCAGGAACACAAUGUCAUCGAUGGGCACCUUUCUGAAGAGGGUAUAAUCUUCAAACUUGGCAGAGACCUUCCCCAGAAGAUUGAAGACAACAACAUCAAGCAAUUCUGCAGGAAACUCAUG